ACGCACGCUGGCGGCGUGCUUAACACAUGCCAGUCGAACGGAAAGGCCCCUUUGGGGGUACUCGAGUGGCGAACGGGUGAGUAACACGUGAGUAACCUGCCCUUGACUUCGGGAUAACUUCAGGAAACUGGGGCUAAUACCGGAUAGGAAUCCUUGCUGCAUGGUGGGGGUUGGAAAGCUUCGGCGGUUUUGGAUGGACUCGCGGCUUAUCAGCUUGUUGGUGGGGUAGUGGCUUACCAAGGCUUUGACGGGUAGCCGGCCUGAGAGGGCGACCGGCCACAUUGGGACUGAGAUACGGCCCAGACUCCUACGGGAGGCAGCAGUGGGGAAUAUUGCACAAUGGGCGGAAGCCUGAUGCAGCAACGCCGCGUGCGGGAUGACGGCCUUCGGGUUGUAAACCGCUUUCAGCAGGGGCGAAGCUUGUGGUGACGGUACCUGCAGAAGAAGCACCGGCUAACUACGUG
rnacentral:rRNA from 1 species